ACGCGUUGGGAGCUCUCCCAUAUGGUCGACCUGCAGGCGGCCGCGAAUUCACUAGUGAUUCGUAUUACCGCGGCUGCUGGCACAGAGUUAGCCGGUGCUUAUUCUGUCGGUAACGUCAAAACACUAACGUAUUAGGUUAAUGCCCUUCCUCCCAACUUAAAGUGCUUUACAAUCCGAAGACCUUCUUCACACACGCGGCAUGGCUGGAUCAGGCUUUCGCCCAUUGUCCAAUAUUCCCCACUGCUGCCUCCCGUAGGAGUCUGGACCGUGUCUCAGUUCCAGUGUGACUGAUCAUCCUCUCAGACCAGUUACGGAUCGUCGCCUUGGUGAGCCAUUACCCCACCAACUAGCUAAUCCGACCUAGGCUCAUCUGAUAGCGCAAGGCCCGAAGGUCCCCUGCUUUCUCCCGUAGGACGUAUGCGGUAUUAGCGUCCGUUUCCGAACGUUAUCCCCCACUACCAGGCAGAUUCCUAGGCAUUACUCACCCGUCCGCCGCUCUCAAGAGAAGCAAGCUUCUCUCUACCGCUCGACUUGCAUGUGUUAGGCCUGCCGCCAGCGUUCAAUCUGAGCCAGAUCAAACUCUAAUCGAAUUCCCGCGGCCGCC
rnacentral:rRNA from 1 species